rnacentral:rRNA from 1 species
UACAGAGGGUGCAAGCGUUAAUCGGAAUUACUGGGCGUAAAGCGCGCGUAGGUGGUUUGUUAAGUUGGAUGUGAAAUCCCCGGGCUCAACCUGGGAACUGCAUCCAAACUGGCAAGCUAGAGUAUGGUAGAGGGUGGUGGAAUUUCCUGUGUAGCGGUGAAAUGCGUAGAUAUAGGAAGGAACACCAGUGGCGAAGGCGACCACCUGGACUGAUACUGACACUGAGGUGCGAAAGCGUGGGGAGCAAACGGG